ensembl:snoRNA small nucleolar RNA SNORA28
GAGCAACACUCUGUGGCAGAGGAUGGACACAGUCUGACACAAUCUGAGCUUCCUAUAGCCAUAAAGUUUAACCUAUUCCGGUGCUCUCCUCUAUGAGACAAGCCGUUAUAUAGACUUAGUGUUA